CAGUAGCCACGGUAAUACGGAGGGGGCUAGCGUUGUUCGGAAUUACUGGGCGUAAAGCGCACGUAGGCGGCUUGGUAAGUUAGAGGUGAAAGCCCGGAGCUCAACUCCGGAAUUGCCUUUAAGACUGCCGAGCUAGCAGGUGAGAGAGGUAAGUGGAAUUCCGAGUGUAGAGGUGAAAUUCGUAGAUAUUCGGAAGAACACCAGUGGCGAAGGCGGCUUACUGGCUCAUACUGGACGCUGAGGUGCGAAAGCGUGGGGAGCAAACAGGAUUAGAUACCCCUGUAGUCCCUGUCUCUUAUAC
rnacentral:rRNA from 1 species